UUAGUAAAGUGGUUAAAGCAUGCGGUUCUUGAACCGUAGGUCCCGGGUUCAAUUCUCG
rnacentral:tRNA from 16 species